AUGUGUGGCUGAAGGGCUGGUUACUGAAGACACCCUCAAACCAUUGUUAAGGGAGCCCUAAGCAUCACCUCCAUCUUCCCUGGGGCUAGUCUGAACCAGCUCCAACUUCCUGCAGACUUUGGGACAACUAGAAGUCAGCAUUGUUUGCAUGGAUGCAGAAGAGAUAUGGAGCAGGGUUUCCUGCCACACUGAUGGAAACGGAGCUCAUGGUGCCUCACGAACUGCCCUAGAGACCUUACACAGAUGGGGAAAACACACAGUGACCUGACUGGAGGGUCAAGUCAUGAAGGAGGAGUACCUGGAGUGACAACAGAGAGCAGAAGGGGACCCCUGACCUGGAACAAGCAGAUUCCCCAGAAUGGCCAGGAGGAGGUGCCACAUGACCUCUGUGCAGCUACAAGUGCAUGCAGCCUCUGGGAGCAACAUCUACAUCUCAGACAGGGGAGUCAACUGGAAGGCCCAGAUGUGCUUCUAGCAGUGCACAUUUGAUGAUGAUGAGCUUUGGGAUUGAGGCUGUGCUGAUGAAAGUUGCUGGACUGGCUGGCAGCCAUGGACUCUGAAAGCUUCUCUUUAUCCCCCAGAACAGAGAUGGCAAAUGAAGCACUGCAAGCUUCUUCCAUGCACCCUGCCCUAUACAUGUGCCUUAUCUGUGCCAUGGAGGAACUGUCCUUAGGAGUUAGAAGCAUGUUCAAUCUCUGUAGCCCAUUCAGACUUUGGCCUCUCUUGCUCAUGCUGCAAGCAAGAGGGCCAAUCAGUGCUAAUUAACCUGGUUGUGUACUGUGGAUACCUGUCCAGUGGGUACUGGACUGAGGUCCCCAGCUCAUGAGCAUAUUCAUUGUUAGUGAAGAAGGAUGACCUCCUUUUUAGUCAAUCAAGGAGACAGGACCAAAUGUACAACAUGGGUGCCUACAGAGAUUGGUUAGUUUUAUGUGCACUAUACUGGACUACAGUUGUGCAAAACUAGAUCCCCAAGCUCUAGUGCCUUUGAAUAUCUGGGGUGAAUCAGAUUUAAAGCUGCAGUCUCCCCUACAAUUUCCAUGUCAAAGCCAGAAGGCUCUUGUGGUGAUCUGGGGAGUGUAUGUACAACUCAUGAAUUCUGGUUAAUUUUAGGAAAUUGCUGUAUUACUGAAUGCCUCAAUGGGUAGUGACUCAAAUAUGGGCUGACAGGGUCCCUGACACAUCAGCAUUGUGACCACUCCCUCAUUUGGACAAAGCUACAGAACAAAAGAGGUUGUUAAACUUAAUGCCUGUGCUCAGGCUGAACAGUGCAUAUGCCGAGGAGGAUAUCAGACCACCUCCCCCAGCUCAGACCAGAGGUUGGUUUGGAGAGCAGAAAAUCCCCAAACAGGCAAACAAAGAAACCAGGCGGUAGUGCUAGUUUUGAAAAACUCAAAAUUCACAGAAAAGCUUAGGUGGGGGAGAGGAACACAGGGGUCCUUUCCAACUGCAGGAAGCUGAGGAAGAAGGAAGCUGGCUGCAGAGGUUAGAGAGACUCCUUGAUUUGGAGAAGCCACGUGCAGGCAGGGAGGGGAGGGCAGAUUCUGGACUCCUUAGAGGACUUUGACCUAAGCCCAAAGAACACUCAAGAAUGGUGAGGAAACUGAGGCAGGGAACUGCUUCCAGGAGUUUAAUAACGUGUCUAGAUCUGUAUAUCUCUUGUGCUAGCUAAUGUGGAGAAUAAUUGGUUUUGGAACCCUCUGCAAAGCCUCUGUUAUGUGCUACCACUGUCACAUGUCCCUGAAGAGAUGAACUGUAAAACCAGAGAUGCCCAUAAGGCUGGAGUGCUAAACUCUGGGAAUUCUUGGAGGGGAUCAGUACUAGUCCUGGGGGCCUAUGGCAGCAGGGCUGCAGAACCCGUUUCCAUGAAGGAGUAGCAGACAAUCUGUGUCCAGGAAGUGUGCCCGAGGCUGAGGAAAGAAACAGAGCGGGAGCCUAUCCAGACUCAGACACGCUGAAAAGCACACGGGUCCAGUGUAUGAAGCCUGGUGAGUGUCUAGCAGUGGGAGCACAGCCAGGGCUAUGACAGACCUAUUUUCUAUUUCAAAUACAUCUGAGUUCUCCCACGAAUCAUCUGUUCUCAAGGGAUUUCAGCCCAAGUUGGUGGAUCUAUCCUGAGAAUAGCUGAUCUCACAAAAUUUCCACUGUCCUGGCCCCAAAACUCAUGAGAACAGCUAGUGAGAUUUCAGUGUCAUCUAACCCAAACACACAAGCUCUUGUCCCAUUUGGGCCUUAAACCUGACCCCUGAGACUCCCAUGUUAAUCCUUGUCCAGUGCUGGAUGCAAAAACUGCCUUUUCAUCUCUAAGAACAGGGGUCCUUAUGUGCUAGGAGAGAGAGAAUUCGAUCUCAGGAGCUGAUCUCCCCAGGUAUGAAGGAGGAGUAGCCCAUCAUCUGGAGUAUUUCAGAACUGGCCAAGUAUGUUAUGAACAGAGGCGUUCUAAAGCAGCCUGUGUUGGCUGUUGCGAGAGGCAGAAUGCCAGUGUGCUGCGAGACCUGUUCUGGAAUGGGAAGCACCAGCACGUUCCUCUUCUAUUAACUUGAAUAAGACUAAUUUGUGCUAGGGCAACGCUUCAUGAAACUUCAGCCUGCGGAUGCUGCUGCUGUGAUAGUUAAAAUGGUCAGGCUAGAUCAGCCUCUUUUUAUUAAGGAUCUUGCACACGCCCACAUGGCUAGGAACAAAGGAGGGGAGCAGGGGUGUAGGUCAUGCCUGAUUGCAAGUUGCCUGGUCAGUAUUUGAGAACCUGAAUUCCUUUGCUAAAGCCUCCCGUUUUAGAAGCAAAUCCCCUAAUCCUAUGGAUGAUUAUUGUCCCUAGGGAUGGAUGCUGUCCUACUAGAAGGAGGAAUGAUUCAAUUUACUGUUUGCUGCAGAGAUGGGUCCAGAGGCAGGUGUCUCAAAUGGGAGGGAGACUGUGAAAACACAUAAGAGGAGGCAAUGGGGAAGGAGAAACAGGAGGAAGUGAGGCUGGGAUGCCAAGGAGAAGGAGGGGGAAGGAAGAGUGCCAAAGGAAAGGGAAGGAGAAGGGGAUGUUUCUCCCCUCAGCUUCAUUGUCUUGCACUUUGCCUGAGAUCAAAGGGAACUUUUCUGCUGACUUAUCUGUGAAGCACCUAGUGUAACCCAGUGAUCAGUG